rnacentral:rRNA from 1 species
AUUGAACGCUGGCGGCGUGCUUAACACAUGCAAGUCGAUCGGUAACAGGUGUAGCAAUACAUGCUGACGAGAGGCGGACGGGUGAGUAAUGCUUGGGAAUCUGCCUAUUAGUGGGGGACAACCCGGGGAAACUCGGGCUAAUACCGCAUACGCUCUACGGAGGAAAGCCGGGGACCGCAAGGCCUGGCGCUAAUAGAUGAGCCCAAGUCGGAUUAGCUAGUUGGUAGGGAACGGCCUACCAAGGCGACAAUCCGUAGCUGGUCUGAGAGGACGACCAGCCACACCGGAACUGAGACACGGUCCGGACUCCUACGGGAGGCAGCAGUGGGGAAUAUUGGACAAUGGGGGCAACCCUGAUCCAGCGACGCCGCGUGGGUGAAG